GAUGAACGCUAGCGGCAGGCCUAAUACGUGCAAGUCGGACGGGAUUCAGGAGCUUGCUUCUGAUGAGAGUGGCGCACGGGUGCGUAACACGUAUGUAACCUACCUUUAUCAGGGGGAUAGCCUCUCGAAAGAGAGAUUAAGCCCGCAUAAAAUCACAGCACAGCAUUGUGUAAUGAUCAAAUAUUUAUAGGAUAAAGAUGGGCAUGCGGAACAUUAGCUAGAUGGCGGGGUAACGGCCCACCAUGGCGACGAUGUUUAGGGGAUCUGAGAGGAUGGCCCCCCACACUGGUACUGAGACACGGACCAGACUCCUACGGGAGGCAGCAGUAAGGAAUAUUGGUCAAUGGGCGGAAGCCUGAACCAGCCAUGCCGCGUGCAGGAAGACGGCCCUACGGGUUGUAAACUGCUUUUAUACGGGAAUAAACCCAGAUACGUGUAUCUGGCUGAAUGUACUGUAAGAAUAAGGAUCGGCUAACUCCGUG
rnacentral:rRNA from 1 species